rnacentral:rRNA from 1 species
GCCCAGACAACUAGGAUGUUGGCUUAGAAGCAGCCAUCAUUUAAAGAGUGCGUAAUAGCUCACUAGUCGAGUGACACUGCGCCGAAAAUGUACCGGGGCUAAACAUAUUACCGAAGCUGUGGAUUGUCCUUUGGACAAUGGUAGGAGAGCGUUCUAAGGGCGUUGAAGCAUGAUCGUAAGGACAUGUGGAGCGCUUAGAAGUGAGAAUGCCGGUGUGAGUAGCGAAAGACGGGUGAGAAUCCCGUCCACCGAUUGACUAAGGUUUCCAGAGGAAGGCUCGUCCGCUCUGGGUUAGUCGGGUCCUAAGCUGAGGCCGACAGGCGUAGGCGAUGGAUAACAGGUUGAUAUUCCUGUACCACCUAUAAUCGUUUUAAUCGAUGGGGGGACGCAGUAGGAUAGGCGAAGCGUGCGAUUGGAUUGCACGUCUAAGCAGUAAGGCUGAGUAUUAGGCAAAUCCGGUACUCGUUAAGGCUGAGC